AAAACAGUCCACUUUGUGGCCUGUUAUCGGAAUGGGUACAAUUUAAAUCUUUUAACGAGGAUCUAUUAGAGGGCAAGUCUGGUGCCAGCAGCCGCGGUAAUUCCAGCUCUAAUAGCGUAUAUUAAAGUUGUUGUGGUUAAAACGCCCGUAGUUGGUUUUUCGGUCUCGAAGCUCGGUAGCUCGUAUGGGCUUAACUGAGUCUUCCGGCCUAAAUUUCUUGUACUCUCCCGAUGCUCUUUAUUGAGUGUCUCGAGAUGCUAGAACGUUUACUUUGAAAAAAUUAGAGUGCUAAAAGCAGGCUAUACGCUUGAAUAAAGUGCAUGGAAUAAUGGAAUAGGACUUUAGUUUUAUUUUGUUGGUUUUCGAAAUUAAAGUAAUGAUUAAGAGGAACAGACGGGGGCAUUCGUAUUGUUGCGUUAGAGGUGAAAUUCUUGGAUCGCAGCAAGACGAACAACUGCGAAAGCAUUUGCCAAGAAUGUUUUCAUUAAUCAAGGACGAUAGUUAGAGGUUCGAAGGCGAUCAGAUACCGCCCUAGUUCUAACCGUAAACUAUGCCAACUAGCGAUCCGUCGGUGUUAAAUAUUGACUCGACGGGCAGCUUCCGGGAAACCAAAGUUUAUAGGUUCCGGGGGAAGUAUGGUUGCAAAGCUUAAACUUAAAGGAAUUGACGGAAGGGCACCACCAGGAGUGGAGCCUGCGGCUUAAUUUGACCCAACACGGGGAAACUCACCCGGCCAGGACACAAUAAGGAUUGACAGAUUGAUAGCUCUUUCUUGAUUUUGUGGGUGGUGGUGCAUGGCCGUUCUUAGUUGGUGGAGCGAUUUGUCUGGUUAAUUCCGAUAACGAACGAGACUCUAGCCUAUUAAAUAGACGAUAUAUCUUAUUAGUAUAUCGAGCUUCUUAGAGGGACGAGCAGCUUCUAGCUGCACGAGAUUGAGCAAUAACAGGUCUGUGAUGCCCUUAGAUGUCCGGGGCUGCACGCGCGCUACAAUGAAAAUAGCAGCGCGUUUCGAAAACCUUUUCUGGAAAGUAUUGGUAAACGCGAAAUAUUUUCGUGAUUGGGAUAGGGGAUUGCAAUUAUUGCCCUUGAACGAGGAAUUCCCAGUAAAUUCGAGUCAUCAGCUCGAGUUGAUUACGUCCCUGCCCUUUGUACACACCGCCCGUCGCUACUACCGAUUGGAACAUUGCGUGAGAUCUUCGGACUGACGUCGAAACGAACGUAAAAAUUCGAUUCGCGCGUUGGAAAGAUGCUCGAAUGCAACGUUCUAGAGGAAGUAAAAGUCGUAACAAGGUUUCCGUAGGUGAACCUGCGGAAG
rnacentral:rRNA from 1 species